rnacentral:lncRNA from 1 species
UCGGCACUAUUUUUUUCUGCACAGCGCAAAUCAAAUGACAUCAUGAAUUUCUCUAAACCUCGAGGGUGACACAGCCCUUUGGAAUCCAGUGCUGUGAGCGCUCAGUGCUUGUGAGUAGCCGGGCUGCGUCCCUGCCUCCCCAACUCAGGCAGAGCAGAGGCCUCAGGCUUUCAGGGAGUGAACAGGAAGGAAAACACAGGAGCCAGCAGAUACCGAGAAAGCGUCUGCUGAGUUUGAGUCCUGGCCCAGUGGGUUGUGCCAGCAGGAAAGUGACUUCCAUGGGACGAGGCGUAUCACCUGCACCCAAGGCGCAGGGAGCGGUGGUCACAUUUCGUGCACCUAGAGAUUCUUGGGGACCCUCAAGAGCUGCGUCUCCUCUCGUCCUGAUGGCACCUGGUGCAGCAUGACUUCUGGACACAUCCCUGGGAUGCCAGUGAGAUUUCUGCCCAUCAAGGGCGCCCAGGUGGGCAAACUGACACAGCAGCCAGUGUGCUGUCCCACCGGGCAUCUGUCCCAAUUUAGGGACAUGAGCUGCCCGGUAAAGCCCCUCCCCACUACCUCCCCCCUCCCUCUUCUUGCUUCUUUGAUCCUCAUGCGAUCAUGUCAACAGCAGGAAAAUCCAGCCAGAAGGAAGAGAGCUAAGCACACAAGGAUCCAAGGAUCUGAGCAGGCCCCGCCCGACUCAGGGGUGAGGCUGACCUCCCAGGACGGACAGAGGAGAUUACUUCACAGAAAAGCAUUGUGGGGUCAAAGCAGAGCAGGGCUCAAAGAGCCAUUUUAAUCGACUUUUUCUGCAAUCAAAACAUUCAGCCGCUUGCUCACGCUAGGACGCUCUGUUCUUCGAGUCAGUAAGAUCCCCAUUCCAGAAUGUCCUGCCGUGAGGUUUUCCUCAGUGUCCCUCCAGAGCUUUGUUCCUGUGCACGAAGGCAUGUCUCCCACAGGCUUUCCCACUGGCUAGGGCUGGGCUGCGCGGCCAGAGUGCUUUCUGUUUGGAGUCCCUGCUUCUGGACAUCAUCAUCCACAAGCACGUGGUCCACAGGCAGCGGCUGGGGGGGGUGCCUGGGUUCUUUUGUCACGUUGCCCCAGGACUCUGUGUGUGUGUGCCCACGUGUGAGUGCGUGUGUGUGCGAGACUCUGUGAAACAGGUGUCAUUGGCCUUUUCUCUCAGAUCUUCUUGUACUUCUGAUACUCCUCUUGCCACAAACAUGACUUUCCCUUAUGAACCGAGUUGAUCUCGGAAUCUCCCUGGUCAGUCCACAGUGUGCAGAAGCGGCGUCCCCCCUCUUUCCAGCCUCCGACCUCCCCCGGGGCCCCCAUCCCGUGGGUCUGGACCCUGGCCCUGACCCGCUUCCACUCAGGUCUUUGUAAGAGCCGAGCGAUCCAGUUCACAGGGAGAGGUCUCUUUGCCUGCGCUGCUCAGAGCCUGACCCCUGCUGGCCCCUCUGGGAGCGGCCAGGGUGGGUGGAUGCCAGGACAGACAAGGACAGGGACAGGGACAGGGAUGGGGGAGGCAGGUUCCCGAGCCAGCGCAGAGGGCCGCCUCUGCAGCCCCGCAGGUGCUUUCUCAGUGGGACUUGGACUUUGGCCGUGAGGACCUGUCCUCCUGCCCCCUGAGCAGCCAGCCUAACCGGCGGAGCAGGCUUUACCUCUUUCACGUGGUCCCCUGAGGGGUGAGUGGCCUGGAGGAGGGGCGCCAGCCACAGCCCAGAUCGUCCCUGAGACUCCACAGGGUGGGACGCUUCGUGGGUCUCAACCAAUGCCUCAGGCCACCCGUGAUUCUUGGAGGCUCCACAGGAGAGAAAGCAAAGGUAGACCACUUAUCCACAUCACCAAGAAUGACUUCAGAAUCCGUGGGUGUCACAGUCUUCCUCUGUCCCCAUUCUCAGCCUUUGGAAACUAGCCAGGGGAGAAAUGAUGCCCCUAGCAGCCCGCUGGCUGCACCUCUGCCCGCUGGGCAGACCAGCCAGCAAAGGGCUUUAUAACAAAUCCCGGAACAGUAUGUGAAUGCACAGGGCGUCACUCACGCACACAAACGGUUUAGUUUACUUCGGUGGGCUAGAUGCGUGCAGUGGUGUUCAUGGGCACUCUGGAAUACAACUUGCAUUUGCAGAAUAUUUUACAGCUUGCAAAGCCUUUUCAGGACCCUGAAUUCGUCCAGUGAGGAGUUUAAGCGCCUGGCAGCUUUAUGGCAUACAACGGGUCUUCUGAUGGACGCUGGGAGGGGGCCCUAUCGAGAUGGGGUUGGUCUGUGCAGUUGUGGCCAUUUGGGCCCCUGGGACAGCUCUGCUGAGACAAGCUAGCCCAGAGUCCCCCGGGGCCACCUGAGGCUACCUUGCACCGUCUUCUGUCCACGCCCGACAGACAUGGACCCUCGGCCUUGCUGAUGAACACCUGCCCCCACACUGCCUCUCCUGCCUGAGCUUCUUUCCAAAGACCCAGCGCACACAAGACUUCACUCGUGUGUGUCGUGUGUUGUGCUCGCCUGCACUUGGGCACAUCCCUGUGGAGUGUCAAGCGACCCACUCAAGAGCCGCAUUCCAGCCCUCUCAUGGCAGCUGGCCUGUCCCUGUGUGGGGACUCGGCACGGGACGUGGUAUUUAUAGUCCGCAUCGCGGGUCCCGCCUCACCACGCGUUUCUGCAGCAGGAGAGAGCGAGCCACAUGGAUCCCGACCGUGAAUGAAUAAGACUCCUUCCCUUGCCCAUUAGCCCCGGAGUCAGCCUUUGGUCAUCUAAGGCAAGUCCUUGUCCACAGCAAACCAACCAAGCGCCACCUCAGGAAGCCACUUUUUGCAACAGUCUUCACAUGUGGAUGAUACAAAGGCAUUUGAAAAGUCAGGAUCAAUGACCACUCUGCUGCCACGAUUUCCCCCUUUCCGCAUGGAUGUUGACCCUUCAGAAGUUUGGUUGUGUUAGGACGGCGUGCCAUCUCCUCCCUGAGGUCCCGCUGCCCUCCAUCCAGAAGGCGGGCUCCAUGGACACGCCCUAUACUCUGCUUUUCACUGAGAGUGGGCAGCAGGUUCACCCAAGAGCUGUGAGCAAAUCCGCUGAGGGACUGGCUCCCUCCACCCCCAGGGUUCCAUCCUUCAAGCCCACGAUGGCUUUCCUGCUCCAUCCACGGUUGGGCUCGCAGGGUGGGUCAACUGCACUGUGCGGUGGAAUCCUGUCUCCCAGCUGUAACCUGUCACCUGCCCCAUGACCUGCACGGCCUCCCCGAUCUGCUCACAUCAGUGUUUACAGACUGUGUUCUGCUCCACAGAAAGGAGUGUCCCGUGGUUGAAUACUUAUGGAAGCCUCUGGAGAUUAUAGUCCCCUGUAAGAGAUCCAGAAAGCGUACUCAAAAUGCACAGAACUCCCGCCGCACGGAAGCCCGUUCACAUUCGUGUCACCCCACACGUCCUGGGGGUCUUUGGACUGGAGCCAUCUUGCCCGUCUGCCCCAAGAGGGUGCCUCUCUGCCCACCGCGCCUCCCUCUCUGGCCCUGCUCUUCCAGCCUGAAAAGUCAGCCCACACCUCUUUCCCCAUAAAUCUUCCCCUCCUUUCACUGCCGACCGUGCACUCCCUCACAUUCCCUCAGCUCUCAAGGUCCCUGUAACACGAUGUACCAUCCGAUCUGAGAUGCAUGUUUUAUGGACGUUGGGCCAAGAGUCCUUUGAAAGUGGGAGUCACGUUCUGUUCCUUCCCUGUGCCUGGACCAGCACGGAGCAGGCACAGACCGGCCAGCACUCCUCAGCUGCUGGACCUUUUCCCAAUGCUUAGUCGCUCGGCGUCCCUCCUCCUGGAUGGCUUGGCUGGGUUUGCUCAUUAGUGCCUCUACCAGGGAUGAAGGGCGGGGGAUGAAAGGCAGAGCUGGCGCCCUGUGUCAUUAGCCAACUCCUAACAUGGUGCAGGGGUUUGCUUGGCCAAAGGGAAUUGUUUGUAUAUUUCUGUAUUUGAAGAGCCGAAGGAGAAAUUUCCUCUCCAGUGUGUGUCUGUGUGUCUGUCUGUGUCUGUGUAUAUGUGUGUCUCUGUCUGUAUAUCUACAGAUGUAUGUAUGUCUAUGUUAUGUCUGUAUACGUGUCUGCGUACAUGUCUAUGUAAGUGUGUACGUAUGUCUGCACAUGUCCAUGUGUGUCUCUGGAUAUUUGUGUGUGUCUGUUAUGUCUGUGUAUGUGUGUCUCUGUCUGUGUCUGUGUGUCUCUGAAUGACUCUGUGUAUGUAUGUUUAUGGAUGCAUGUUGUAUAUGUCUCUAGGCUUCUUUGUGUGUCUGUAUAUGUGUGUGUGUUUGUAGAUGUGUGUGUGCAUGGAUGUGGUGUCUACACUCAUGUGAACCCAGGGCACCCACAGUUGGUCCAGCCUACUCUCUGACACAGGACACCUGAGUCUUGCAGGCAUCCUGAGUGUCCUCAGUGAUGGCCAUGUCGUCGCAGCUUCCCCAUCCUCCCGGCCUCUGUCCCCUGGGUUUUCCACUGCACCACGGUGUCCAGACCCUGGAGCAGUAGGACACUGAGUUUCAACAUGUCCUCCAACUGCAGCCCACCGCUUGCAGCCUGGAGGGGACAGCCCAGCUGAGUUGCAUCUCUGCAUGUCCCAGGAACCCGGCCUGGCUCCAGAGCCAGCCCUGCCAGUUCUGUGGGGAGAUGCCUCUAGAAAUGUCACAACCAGCAUGUCACUGGCUUCUCCACCUCCUUUGCUUUCUAGACCAAAUGAUGACCAGACGUGGGCCUGGGCCACUCAGCUCUUCAGAGGCUCUGGGCCUUGCCCGCACCAAUUCACCGAGUGGGAAGCCCUGGAGGGGUGGCCCUCAGUGCCCACACCACAUCGGUCCACGAUGGAAGCUUUACCUGCUCGGCCAUCCCUUGGCGUGGCGACUUUCAUUUCUUGCAAAUGAUGAUGAUCUCUUCUUUCUUUCCCUGGAGACCUCAAACAUUCCUCUUUACAUUUGAAGUUCCCAAAUGAAUAUUUUUAAAAUGUAUUCUGCUGUGAAUUUGCCUUGUAAAUAGGGCCGGCUACCUCAUUUGCAGGACUCAGUGCAUUUUAAAAUGUGGGACCCUUGUUCAAAAGGCAGGAAAACAGCACUUAAUGAUACCAAAAUAUAAAGCUCUCCUUUCCUCCAUUUUUUCUUGACUUGCCGUGGUGUUUUUGUUACUUAAUGUCGUUGCAAGUAAAGAAAAGUGAAAAUUUUAAAUUAUUAGCAUGUCUUAGCAUUCACCUUUAUAUUGUGCAAUGCCAGUUUUAAAUGCAAAUUCGAGUGCAUUUAACUCGCACGAGGAACCAUUGAAAUUACGUAGUUUGUAUUUUGUAGCUUGUACACACAUGAGUAUUUCAUUUUUACCAGAACAGGGGAAAUGCUGCACAAAACCCAUCCCAUCAUCUUUAGUUCACGUCUUGACACCGUGGCUUAGUGAGGAGAAGGGCAGGACUGAAGGAUAGGCGCUAUGGGCCCCCUCUUCCCUUCCAUCCUGCGUCAUCACUUUCAGACAAGUGGCUGUCUGACCAGGGACGUUCAAUGGGGAGAAAGAAUAGGACAAGUGCCUGGGCCAUUCGUGUUUCUGAGAAGGUCACUGCCUUCUUUUGCAUUUGAAGCGAGUUCAGCUUCAAGUGGCGCGUCUGGCUUCUCAGAGCUGUCAGUGCCCCACUUACUCAGCUGUAAAGGGGACGCGCUUACCUGUACUUGCUUGCAGUCUUGCCAAACUGCAUGCAUCUUUGGUCCACACUCUGUGUUUAUGGGGCAUUGUGAACACAAAUGGGACAGCAAGAACCGGCAGACAGCAGCUCCACGUGGCUUCUUCUCUGCUAACACACACCCUCCAUUGUCUCAUAGGACUUCACUGACAAAACAAAUCCCAAAUCAAAUUAUUAACAAUUCCAAGAUGGUGUCCACAGAGCAUGAUGUCAGGUGGAAGCCCUUUUGAGUGUAGAGCCCGUGUGACGGUGAAGGCCACACAGCUGUGAGGCCGGCCCCGCACAGAACUGAGAAAGUCCUGAUACGCGCUCUUCUGUUGGUUAGCUGAGUACCUUCUUCCCUGGAUUCUGCCUGUUCCCUGGGACUCCUGGUAAAUACAUGACGAGACUUCUGGCCCUCCCCUUCAUGUGCCCACUUCUCCCUCUGAUCGUGAUCUCUUUGUCCUUAUGAACAUUCUUCAAGAAACCCUUGAUCUUUCAGUUCAAUACUUCAUCCUUCAAUGUGUCUGUUCAAUCAUUUUUUAAAUUUUGAAGUUUUAUAGUUCUUUUUCUAACAGCCUCAUCUUGUUUUGUGGAUGGUUUAUAUUCUCUAAUCUCCUGGACUAUAUUAAUGAUAAUUACCUUGAAGACUUUCAUCUUAGUCUGCAUUGGCUCUUCCAGUUGUUGAGUUUGAUUGCCACUUUCCCAUAGCGUCCAUUUUGCUCCAACUAUCCGUUCAUCUUGCUUGGCUAUCUACUUUCCUUUCUGUUUGGGAAUCCUCGGCCAGCAUGGUUGUCUGGGCUCCGUUUUCUCAUUUGUAAAAUAAGGGCCUCAAGCAGAUCAGCGGCUUUCCACUCUUUUUAGCUUUGGGAAAUGUCAAAUGAGAACUUAUUUGUGAAAGCACAGUGUGUAAGUGGAGGGGGUACAGCAAUCAUCACGGCAGGUGACCUUGAAGGUCCCUCCUGCGACCCCACUCAAGACAGGCCUGGCCCUGGGGCUCCUGGGCCCUUCCACACAGCCUGACCCAGCAGCUAAUGGACCAGGUCAUCCAGAUGGUCAUUUCAGGCUCAAUAUUAUGGGAUUCCUUGUGGGGAGCACAUAGAUUGGAACUUCUGUGAAAUGCCUCCCUGCAUGUCCAUUUUGGCAUGGUUCUAGAGAUGGAAGGGUCCCCUGGCAGACAGACUCCCAACGACUUGCUCAAUACCACCCUCUGGAUGGGAACAGAACUCCCAUCAGUGGCUUCCAGAUAAAGUCUCGACAAAGAAAGCCACACAGAACAGUGGUGACGUCAGUUCUGUAAAACUCACAAUUACAUUCUUUUCUUUAAGUGGACCUCCUGAUUUCAAAGGGAUCAUUUCCAAAAAAGACUGGGCCGGGCUCCAGUCUUGGCCUCUGUGGAUAAUAUCAAAGUAGAUGCUAUAAAUUAGUAAAUUCAUGGCAGUCUAUCAUAAACGAGACAAAACGGCCUUUGCUGCGAGACCCCACGGCUGCUCUUCCUCAGCCCGUGCGGAGCAGACGCCAGGUGGGACGGGGCUCCGUGGACCUGCUGUCUAGUUUCUGAUCUAGAAACAAGUCAAAGCACCAGUGUGGAAAUACCUGCUGUUCUUAAAAUAGGUCUAUGUGGCUCAGUGUUUUUUGUUUUUCCUUAAGGGCACUUGAGAUUCAACACAAAAAUGAGGAAGUGAAAGCUUUGAAUUGGUUUGUCCUCUUUUAUCAUCUUGGGGAGGAUGGUUCUUUUUUGUAAGUGUUUCUGGGAGGAAAAUUGAAUUUAUUUCUCUUAAGAGGUCAGUUUUACAUGAAUCAAACUAGUAACAACAACAAUAUUAAUAAUAAUAAUAAUAAAUCCUGUUCAGAACCUCGAGAAAGUCUGCAGCUGGAGACUGGUCUUCCCUCGGCUCUGGAGGUGUCCGGCUCAUCGGCCUCCCCAGGGUCUCUCCUCCUUGCACCCUGGGACGAAGGGCUGCCCCUCACGCCUCUGCUUCAUCUUGAACUCUGAUCUCCUUGUCCUUUAGCA